GAUGAACGCUAGCGGCGGGCCUAAUACAUGCAAGUCGAACGGGAAAGGUGGCAACACCUUGAGAGUGGCGUACGGGUGCGUAACGCGUAUACACCUGCCUGUUACACGGGGAUAGCCUUGCGAAAGCGAGAUUAAUACCCGAUGGUACUAUUGAGCGGCAUCGCUUGGUAGUUAAAGCUGAGGCGGUAACAGAGGGGUAUGCGUCCAUUAGCUAGUUGGUAGUGUAACGGACUACCAAGGCGACGAUGGGUAGGGGUUCUGAGAGGAUGAUCCCCCACACUGGUACUGAGAUACGGACCAGACUCCUACGGGAGGCAGCAGUAGGGAAUAUUGGGCAAUGGACGGAAGUCUGACCCAGCCACGCCGCGUGCAGGAAGAAGGUCCUCUGGAUUGUAAACUGCUUUUCUUGGGGAAGAAAACCCUUCUGCGGAAGGAAUUGACGGUACUCAAGGAAUAAGCAUCGGCUAACUCCGUG
rnacentral:rRNA from 1 species